rnacentral:rRNA from 1 species
GGGUUGUGAGGUUAAGCGACUAAGCGUACACGGUGGAUGCCCUGGCAGUCAGAGGCGAUGAAGGACGUGCUAAUCUGCGAAAAGCGUCGGUAAGGUGAUAUGAACCGUUAUAACCGGCGAUGUCCGAAUGGGGAAACCCAGUGUGAUUCGUCACACUAUCGUUAACUGAAUACAUAGGUUAACGAGGCGAACCGGGGGAACUGAAACAUCUAAGUACCCCGAGGAAAAGAAAUCAACCGAGAUUCCCCCAGUAGCGGCGAGCGAACGGGGAGCAGCCCAGAGUCUGAAUCAGCUUGUGUGUUAGUGGAACGGUCUGGAAAGUCCGACGGUACAGGGUGAUAGUCCCGUACACCAAAAUGCACAGGUUGUGAACUCGAAGAGUAGGGCGGGACACGUGGUAUCCUGUCUGAAUAUGGGGGGACCAUCCUCCAAGGCUAAAUACUCCUGACUGACCGAUAGUGAACCAGUACCGUGAGGGAAAGGCGAAAAGAACCCCGGCGAGGGGAGUGAAAAAGAACCUGAAACCGUGUACGUACAAGCAGUGGGAGCACCUUCGGGUGUGACUGCGUACCUUUUGUAUAAUGGGUCAGCGACUUAUAUUCUGUAGCAAGGUUAACCGUAUAGGGGAGCCGCAGGGAAACCGAGUCUUAACUGGGCGUUAAGUUGCAGGGUAUAGACCCGAAACCCGGUGAUCUAGCCAUGGGCAGGUUGAAGGUUGGGUAACACUAACUGGAGGACCGAACCGACUAAUGUUGAAAAAUUAGCGGAUGACUUGUGGCUGGGGGUGAAAGGCCAAUCAAACCGGGAGAUAGCUGGUUCUCCCCGAAAGCUAUUUAGGUAGCGCCUCGUGAACUCAUCUUCGGGGUAGAGCACUGUUUCGGCUAGGGGGUCAUCCCGACUUACCAACCCGAUGCAAACUACGAAUACCGAAGAAUGUUAUCACGGGAGACACACGGCGGGUGCUAACGUCCGUCGUGAAGAGGGAAACAACCCAGACCGCCAGCUAAGGUCCCAAAGUCAUGGUUAAGUGGGAAACGAUGUGGGAAGGCACAGACAGCCAGGAUGUUGGCUUAGAAGCAGCCAUCAUUUAAAGAAAGCGUAAUAGCUCACUGGUCGAGUCGGCCUGCGCGGAAGAUGUAACGGGGCUAAACCAUGCACCGAAGCUGCGGCAGCGACACUAUGUGUUGUUGGGUAGGGGAGCGUUCUGUAAGCCUGCGAAGGUGACCUGUGAGGGUUGCUGGAGGUAUCAGAAGUGCGAAUGCUGACAUAAGUAACGAUAAAGCGGGUGAAAAGCCCGCUCGCCGGAAGACCAAGGGUUCCUGUCCAACGUUAAUCGGGGCAGGGUGAGUCGACCCCUAAGGCGAGGCCGAAAGGCGUAGUCGAUGGGAAACAGGUUAAUAUUCCUGUACUUGGUGUUACUGCGAAGGGGGGACGGAGAAGGCUAUGUUAGCCGGGCGACGGUUGUCCCGGUUUAAGCAUGUAGGCUGAUUGUCCAGGCAAAUCCGGAUAAUCAAGGCUGAGGUGUGAUGACGAGGCACUACGGUGCUGAAGUAACAAAUGCCCUGCUUCCAGGAAAAGCCUCUAAGCAUCAGGUAACAUCAAAUCGUACCCCAAACCGACACAGGUGGUCAGGUAGAGAAUACCAAGGCGCUUGAGAGAACUCGGGUGAAGGAACUAGGCAAAAUGGUGCCGUAACUUCGGGAGAAGGCACGCUGGUGUGUAGGUGAAGUCCCUGCGGAUGGAGCUGAGACCAGUCGAAGAUACCAGCUGGCUGCAACUGUUUAUUAAAAACACAGCACUGUGCAAACACGAAAGUGGACGUAUACGGUGUGACGCCUGCCCGGUGCCGGAAGGUUAAUUGAUGGGGUUAUCCGUAAGGAGAAGCUCUUGAUCGAAGCCCCGGUAAACGGCGGCCGUAACUAUAACGGUCCUAAGGUAGCGAAAUUCCUUGUCGGGUAAGUUCCGACCUGCACGAAUGGCGUAAUGAUGGCCAGGCUGUCUCCACCCGAGACUCAGUGAAAUUGAACUCGCUGUGAAGAUGCAGUGUACCCGCGGCAAGACGGAAAGACCCCGUGAACCUUUACUAUAGCUUGACACUGAACAUUGAGCCUUGAUGUGUAGGAUAGGUGGGAGGCUUUGAAGCGUGGACGCCAGUCUGCGUGGAGCCAACCUUGAAAUACCACCCUUUAAUGUUUGAUGUUCUAACGUUGGCCCCUUACCGGGGUUGCGGACAGUGUCUGGUGGGUAGUUUGACUGGGGCGGUCUCCUCCCAAAGCGUAACGGAGGAGCACGAAGGUUAGCUAAUCCUGGUCGGACAUCAGGAGGUUAGUGCAAUGGCAUAAGCUAGCUUGACUGCGAGCGUGACGGCGCGAGCAGGUGCGAAAGCAGGUCAUAGUGAUCCGGUGGUUCUGAAUGGAAGGGCCAUCGCUCAACGGAUAAAAGGUACUCCGGGGAUAACAGGCUGAUACCGCCCAAGAGUUCAUAUCGACGGCGGUGUUUGGCACCUCGAUGUCGGCUCAUCACAUCCUGGGGCUGAAGUAGGUCCCAAGGGUAUGGCUGUUCGCCAUUUAAAGUGGUACGCGAGCUGGGUUUAGAACGUCGUGAGACAGUUCGGUCCCUAUCUGCCGUGGGCGCUGGAGAAUUGAGGGGGGCUGCUCCUAGUACGAGAGGACCGGAGUGGACGCAUCACUGGUGUUCGGGUUGUCAUGCCAAUGGCACUGCCCGGUAGCUAAAUGCGGAAGAGAUAAGUGCUGAAAGCAUCUAAGCACGAAACUUGCCCCGAGAUGAGUUCUCCCUGAGACUUUAAGUCUCCUGAAGGAACGUUGAAGACGACGACGUUGAUAGGCCGGGUGUGUAAGCGCAGCGAUGCGUUGAGCUAACCGGUACUAAUGAACCGUGAGGCUUAACCUUACAACGCCGAAG